CCCUUAGAUGUUCUGGGCCGCACGCGUGCUACACUGAGUGGAUCAGCGGGUCAGGUUGCGCGAAAGCGUUUCCUAAUCUUUAAAUCCGCUCGUGAUGGGGAUUGACGGUUGCAAUUUUCUGUCAUGAACGAGGAAUACCUUGUAAGCGCGGGUCAUCAUCCCGCGCUGAAUACGUCCCUGCCCUUUGUACACACCGCCCGUCGCUCCUACCGAUUGAGUGGUCCGGUGAGGCUUUGGGAUUUGAGCGGAAAGAGCGUUUCGCUGUUUCUGCUCGGAAAACUCAGUCGAACCUUAUCAUUUAGAGGAGGGAGAAGUCGUAACA
rnacentral:rRNA from 1 species